CGCACGGGUGAGUAACACGUAUCCAACCUGCCGUCUACUCUUGGCCAGCCUUCUGAAAGGAAGAUUAAUCCAGGAUGGCAUCAUGAGUUCACAUGUCCGCAUGAUUAAAGGUAUUUCCCGGUAGACGAUGGGGAUGCGUUCCAUUAGAUAGUAGGCGGGGUAACGGCCCACCUAGUCAACGAUGGAUAGGGGUUCUGAGAGGAAGGUCCCCCACAUUGGAACUGAGACACGGUCCAA
rnacentral:rRNA from 1 species